UACGAGGGGGGCAAGCGUUGUUCGGAAUUACUGGGCGUAAAGGGUGCGUAGGCGGUGCUCUAAGUCGGAUGUGAAAACUCUGGGCUCAACCCAGAGCCUGCAUCCGAAACUGGAGUGCUAGAGUUCUGGAGGGGGUAGCGGAAUUCCUGGUGUAGCGGUGAAAUGCGUAGAUAUCAGGAGGAACACCGGUGGCGAAGGCGGCUACCUGGACAGAAACUGACGCUGAGGCACGAAAGCUAGGGGAGCAAACAGG
rnacentral:rRNA from 1 species